rnacentral:tRNA from 1 species
GGUCUAGGAGCUUGUGUUUAAGCGUCUGAUUGUUACUCAGAAGAAGGUUUGAGUAAGGAACUCUGGAUCU